rnacentral:rRNA from 1 species
GUUGUAUGGUUAAGUGACUAAGCGUACACGGUGGAUGCCUUGGCAGUCAGAGGCGAUGAAAGACGUAGUAACUUGCGAUAAGCCCAGAUUAGGUAGUAACAACCAUUUGAGUCUGGGAUUUCUGAAUGGGGAAACCCACUUACAUAAGUAAGUAUCAUUAACUGAAUACAUAGGUUAAUGAGGCGAACCGGGGGAACUGAAACAUCUAAGUACCCCGAGGAAAAGAAAUCAACCGAGAUUCCGAAAGUAGCGGCGAGCGAAAUUGGACUAGCCCUUAAGCUUUACACGCGUUAGACGAACGGUCUGGAAAGUCCGACGAUACAGGGUGAUAGUCCCGUAGUUGACGACGUGUGUUCAGUGAAAUCGAGUAGGGCGGGACACGUGAUAUCCUGUCUGAAUAUGGGGGGACCAUCCUCCAAGGCUAAAUACUACUGACUGACCGAUAGUGAACCAGUACCGUGAGGGAAAGGCGAAAAGAACCCCUGUGAGGGGAGUGAAAUAGAACCUGAAACCGUGUACGUACAAGCAGUAGGAGCAGGCUUUGUCCUGUGACUGCGUACCUUUUGUAUAAUGGGUCAGCGACUUAUAUUCAGUGGCAAGGUUAACCAUCUAGGGGAGCCGUAGGGAAACCGAGUCUUAACUGGGCGUUCAGUCUCUGGAUAUAGACCCGAAACCAGGUGAUCUAGCCAUGGGCAGGUUGAAGGUUGAGUAACAUCAACUGGAGGACCGAACCGACUAAUGUUGAAAAAUUAGCGGAUGACUUGUGGCUAGGGGUGAAAGGCCAAUCAAACCUGGAGAUAGCUGGUUCUCCCCGAAAGCUAUUUAGGUAGCGCCUCGGACGAAUACUACUGGGGGUAGAGCACUGUUAAGGCUAGGGGGUCAUCCCGACUUACCAACCCUUUGCAAACUCCGAAUACCAGUAAGUACUAUCCGGGAGACACACGGCGGGUGCUAACGUCCGUCGUGGAGAGGGAAACAACCCAGACCGCCAGCUAAGGUCCCAAAUUACUACUAAGUGGGAAACGAUGUGGGAAGGCUCAGACAGCCAGGAUGUUGGCUUAGAAGCAGCCAUCAUUUAAAGAAAGCGUAAUAGCUCACUGGUCGAGUCGGCCUGCGCGGAAGAUGUAACGGGGCUAAGUAGUAAACCGAAGCUGCGGCAAUAUACUUUAGUAUAUUGGGUAGGGGAGCGUUCUGUAAGCGGUUGAAGGUGUGUGGUAACGCAUGCUGGACGUAUCAGAAGUGCGAAUGCUGACAUGAGUAACGAUAAAGGGGGUGAAAAACCUCCUCGCCGGAAGACCAAGGGUUCCUGUCCAACGUUAAUCGGGGCAGGGUAAGUCGACCCCUAAGGCGAGGCCGAAAGGCGUAGUCGAUGGGAAACGGGUUAAUAUUCCCGUACUUCUUACAAUUGCGAUGGGGGGACGGAGAAGGCUAGGUGGGCCUGGCGACGGUUGUCCAGGUUCAAGUGCGUAGGCUU